rnacentral:piRNA from 1 species
UUUACACUUGUCAGUGUUGGUAC